AGCUUUGCACAGUGGCAGUAUUGUAGCCAAUGAGGUUUAUGUGAGGUGCGAUUAUUGCUGAUUAUUGCUAAAUGAA
ensembl:snRNA U4 U4 spliceosomal RNA